UACGGAGGGUGCAAGCAUUAAUCGGAUUUAUUGGGCGUAAAGGGCGCGUAGGCGGUAAUGUAAGUCAGAUGUGAAAUUCCGAGAGCUUAACUCCGGAGCUGCAUUUGAAACUGCAAUACUAGAGGGUUGACGGAGGAAAUGGAAUUCCAUGUGUAGCGGUGAAAUGCGUAGAUAUAUGGAAGAACACCAGUGGCGAAAGCGGUUUUCUAGUUAAUACCUGACGCUGAGGCGCGAGAGCAAGGGGAGCAAACAGG
rnacentral:rRNA from 1 species